rnacentral:tRNA from 1 species
GCGACACUAUCCCAACUGGUAGAGGAGUUUGCCUUAGAAGCAAAAUAGUGAAGGUUCGAAUCCUUCGUGUCGUA